UUUUAGUUUCUUCUUGUUCUACAUUAGCACAAACUUGAAUUGAAUUUGCAGAGGCAAGAGUCCAUUAAGUGUGAGAUGGGCUUACUUUGGCUUGGAUCAACCAUUGCUAAAGAGUUAGAACUAAACAACUAGUUAGUUGGUCAUCCACCCUUAUAAGCCCUUUGAACUUGUUGUAAUCUUUAAAUGUGGGACUCUUGACAAUUGACACACAUCAAUCCACUAUUCAAACUCUACCCUGCCAACCAUAACUUUUUCCCCCAUCUUGUGCACAUUAGAUUAACUAAGAAAAUUUGGCUCCAAAUUGUUCUUUCUGCCAAGAAGUCUGACACUGUGCAGAUGGUUCAUUCUUGGAUAUAAUUGUAAAUUUAGCAAUAAUGUUCACUUGAACAUACCCUUUUACCCAUCACAAAAAGAAAUUCUUAUGAAGAAAGAAAUAUGUUUGGCCUUCUUGUCUAGGCCUGAGCAAUAUUCGGUUUUAACCGAAGAUCCUAACCGAACCGAACCAAUUUUCGUCAAAAACCGAAGAAAAACCAAACCGAACAUAACCGUAUAUCUUAAACUAUGUCGUUUCAGCACCCAUUUAUAUGCAUGAUUAAAGCCCAGACCUAGUAACCCCAUUUCUUUUUAAUUCUGAGAACCUUUGGUCUCCUCCCUAAAUCAAAUAUGCAUGACAAUGAAA
rnacentral:misc_RNA from 1 species